rnacentral:rRNA from 1 species
AUGAGGGCGUUAUUCUGGAAUAUUAGGGGGUUCGGUGCUAGGGGGCGCCAUGACCAACUUAAAGAUCCGGUUCGUUCUAACUCUAUUGACUUUGUGGGGCUGGUAGAAACCUUCAAGGAAUCCUUCUCCCCUAAUGACCUUUCUGCUAUUGUGGGCAUGGACAGAUUUAAUUGGAACUUUUUACCUGCUUCGGGGCACUCUGGCGGGAUCUUGAUAGGCUCCAAUAAAGAUAUUUUUGAUUUUGUUGCUUUUGAUCAUGGGAUCUUUUGGGCCAGUGUUGUUCUCUCUCAUAAAGCUCAGAAUACUCUUUGUGAGUUUAUCAUCGUCUAUGGGCCUGUGGACCAUUCCUUGUCGCCUUUAUUUCUUAAUGAACUUUCGUUGAAGAUCGGUGCUUGUAAUUUACCGAUGGUUAUUGGGGGAGACUUUAACCUUCUG